GACGAACGCUGGCGGCGUGCUUAACACAUGCCAGUCGAACGGAAAGGCCCUGCUUUUGUGGGGUGCUCGAGUGGCGAACGGGUGAGUAACACGUGAGUAACCUGCCCUUGACUUUGGGAUAACUUCAGGAAACUGGGGCUAAUACCGCAUAGGAGCUCCUGCUGCAUGGUGGGGGUUGGAAAGUUUCGGCGGUUGGGGAUGGACUCGCGGCUUAUCAGCUUGUUGGUGGGGUAGUGGCUUACCAAGGCUUUGACGGGUAGCCGGCCUGAGCGGGUGACCGGCCACAUUAGGACUGAGAUACGGCCCAGACUCCUACGGGAGGCAGCAGUGGAGAAUAUUGCACAAUGGGCGGAAGCCUGAUGCAGCCACGCCGCGUGCGGGAUGACGGCCUUCGGGUUGUAAACCGCUUUCGCCUGUGACGAAGCGUGAGUGACGGUAAUGGGUAAAGAAGCACCGGCUAACUACGUG
rnacentral:rRNA from 1 species